rnacentral:sRNA from 1 species
CACUCUCCACCCCGCCCGGCUGCUGUCCGUCUCUGUGGGGUGGGGUGGGGGUCGCAUAGCCAACGUGUUCUGAAUGGGUUUCGCAGAAUGAAUUCUAAUCUUAAAUGGGACUGUCACAACUUUAUUUUGAAUUUAGGUGGUGAGCCGGCUGGGCCUGGACUCCCUGUGCCCCUUCAGCCCUAAGGAGCGGAUCAUCGAGUACCUGGUCCCUGAGCGCGGGCCUGAGCGAGGCCUGGGCAGCAAGUCCCUGCGCGCCUUCGUGGGGGAGGUGGGUGCCCGCUCUGCGGCCCCCGGGGGCGGCUCGGUGGCGGCGGCCGC